CUCUUACUCCCGGUUCCCCUCUUUUCGGCAGCGCGCCGUUCAACAGUCCUGUACGCGGAACGUAAAAAGGGGAUUGGCGCCAGGACAUCACCGACGGCGUCUCCUUCACGUAAAAUCUGACCUUCGACGGUGAACUGACCAAACUCGGCUUCUUCUCAGCUGUCGCCCUUAUGCCGAUCAGAGGUACGGCGAAAGCUGGGAGCGACGAGAAACGCUUCAGAACUCGCGGCCACCCUGUUGUUCUUCCUGCUGCUGCUGCUGCCGCGGACAUUCACGCUCCUGUCUCUUGCACGGUCUCCUCUGUCUCUGGCAGGGCUGCUGCUGCUGCCGCCGAUCGCAACUUCUAAACGUUUACAAUAAUAUAAAGUGUCAACUAAAUGAAAGGAGAUCAACGAUUCAAUCCGUUCUUCGAUACAAGAAUAAAAUAAUA